CCUACGGGAGGCUGCAGUGGGGAAUAUUGGGCAAUGGACGCAAGUCUGACCCAGCAACGCCGCGUGAAGGAUGACGGCUCUCGGGUUGUAAAAUUCUUUUAAGGGGGAAGUGCAGAACACGGUAUCCAUUGAAUAAGCUACGGCUAACUACGUGCCAGCAGCCGCGGUCAUACGUAGGUGGCCGGCGUUGUCCGGAUUUACUGGGUGUAAAGGGCGUGCAGGCGGGGAGACAAGUCAGAUGUGAAAUCCACGGGCUCAACCCGUGAACUGCAUUUGAAACUGGUUCCCUUGAGUGUAGGAGAGGUAAGCGGAAUUCCUGGUGUAGCGGGGAAAUGCGUAGAUAUAAGGAAGAACACCAGUGGCGAAGGCGGAUUACUGGACGAUAACUGACGGUGAGGCUCGAAAGUGUGGGGAGCAAACAGGAUUAGAUACCCUAGUAGUC
rnacentral:rRNA from 1 species